GCUUACGGCCAUACCACCCUGAGAACGCCCGAUCUCGUCUGAUCUCGGAAGCUAAGCAGGGUCGGGCCUGGUUAGUACUUGUAUGGGACACCGCCUGGGAAUACCAGGUGCUGUAAGCU
ensembl:rRNA 5S_rRNA 5S ribosomal RNA